GUGCUCGCUUCAGCAGCACAUGUACUAAAAUUAGAAUGACACAGAGAAGACUAGCAUGGCCCCUGCGCAAGGAUGACAUGCAAAUUUGUGAAGUACUCCAUAUUUAA